CAAAGUGGCGCGGUACAUUUUUGUUCGAUCUUCUCGUCUCUCCUCGAUCUCGCAUUCUCUACGUCCCUCGAUCGAUCCGUCACAGUAUCUUCAACUUUCUCGAAAGUUACACGGAAAAAGGAAAGAAAGAAGCAAGGAAGAAACCAGAAAAGGAAAGAAGACACACAACGAUUGAUAUUUUAGUGUCGUGAAUCAUCCACCGUGAAAUAUCGGAAAAAUGCCACAGGCAGCCCACGAAACGAAAAACAUCUUAACAACGUACUUCAUCUUGAUCCUCCUGCUGAUUUGCCUAUGGUUACUCUACUCGGGGCUGUUUUAACCAACGAAACCAACACAUUCCUCGCCAUGGAGCGAAGUAAGAAGCACGAAGGGAGAAAUAAGUUUCACGUCGACAACCGGAUUAUCCCCUUCGAUCGAUCACACGACAGGAUACAUAUGUAUACCAGAUCACCACCUCUUUCGUUCUCUGUGCGUUGCU